AGAUUUUUAGCGCUUCAUCACCUCAGAAAAUUUCGGGGAUUUCCAAUAUUAGAUUUUGUCUUGUGUUGCAAAAGAUGCUGGAAAUGGGACCAUGAGAAUAGUAUGAGUAAACGCAAACUUUCACAAGGGUAUGCAAAUUCAAUGAUGUAUUGAAUGGAUCUACAAUGUAUCAUCAUUCAAUCGCGAUUUCUCAAGUCUGUAAACUAAUAUAAAUCCUCCUCUAUCUAUCAUCAUGUCUUUACUUAUGUAUAAUUUUAAACACCUUACUAGGUCACUGAUCUUCAGUAGAAUCAUACCUUAUUUCGUCCUAUGCUGCUAUCUAAUUUAUGCAUGACCCCAUGUAUGAUAUAGCAUUAAAAAAACAAGAAACUGAAUAUCCCUGAAAAUAAUAUAUGAGGGGGGAUAGGAGGGGUCCUGAUCCCGAAAUCCCGGACUUAAAAUAACGAAUUCCCGAGGUCCCGAAUUUAAAUACAGUAAAUCCUGAUGUCCCAAAAUCCGAAAAAAACGAUUCCCGUAUCCCGAAAAGGUCAAUCCCAAAAUCCCAAGCUUAAAAACACCCGAUCCCGGAGUCCCGAUAAAGGUCCUAUCCCCCCUCAUAUAUCCUACCAUAGUCUAAAAUCGUUCAUCUUGUCAGUUCGUUAGGUAUUUGUGUUUGAACUUAACACACGGGGAAACUCCGCAUUGACGUCACUACACUACUUCCGGCGUAGAAAAACAGUGCAGAAUACGUUUUUUCUGCACUUUUGAAUAAAAAAAACAUUUCUUACGGUAAGUUUUCAUCGUUGUUCUCAAUUAUUGCUAAAAAAUGCCAAUUUUCUAAUGCCCAUUUCAAUCCCGACUUCCGAAUGUCUAAAAACAUUCUAGAACUUCACAAAAUCCCAUUUCCAGCCUCCAUUGCUUUGUGUACAUUCCAUUCAGCGUCAUCAAUCUUGUGGCAGGCAAUACAGGUCAAGUAAAUCGUAUUUUUAGGAAUUUUAAAACGACAUGCUCCUUACGUCUUUCGUGAUUUUCCCGCGAAAAAAGCCCAACCAAAAUGAAAGGAAAACUAUAUGAAAAAACGAUGUCCAUGCCAUAAUUUUGUACAGGAAUAUAGAGUAGGUUAAAAUAAAAAACAAUUUACAUUUAUUUUUCAUAGAAUUUUUUUUUAUCCAUUAUAAAAAGAUCGAUAUUCUGACCAUCAUGACUGUAGGUAAAUAUUCAUACAAAAUUCCAUUGAUGUCAAAAGGGAUGGCAAAAAAGAGUUUCCCUGUUGAAUAAACCCAAAAUUAUUGCAAACUAUUUUGAAGCAAUAUCCCACAAAGAAAUAACGUAAUUGCCGUAGACUGAAAAAUCCCCUAAUUGACAGUAGAGCAAUUUGAUUGGGUAUAAGGAAUUGACAUCACGUGAUUUUGACGCCAUUGAAAUUUGAAUGUAAACAAACAAGGUCAGAAGGUUCAGUAUGGGAUCACAUCGUACAUUUAGUUACUUGGACUACAAAAUGUUUGCUUACAUACAUGUACAUUUACAUGUACAUGAUGAUGAAUUCUUCGAAACAGUUCUAAAUUCUUUACCUUGAAUGAUUUCAUUAAAUUGUUAUAUGUAUUUCUAUUCCAAGCUAUAAUGUAUUAACAUUCUGUACAUGUAUUUCUAUUCUAGGUUACCCUGUUUAAUGGUAACCAUUCUGUAACAUAUAUUUCUAUUCUAGGCUACAGUGUAUUACCAAGUUUUUCAAGUUGUCAACAGAUUUAGACAGUAAGUAUAAAAUAUUUACUGUAAAGUUUGAAAUUGUGGCUUCUAUAUAUGUUUUCAUGUACAUUUUGAGCUACAUGGAUUAGAUGACUUUCAUUGGUCAUGGUGGUUAUAUAUAAUUAUAAUUUAUUUAUUUUAUAAUGUUGAAGUUUACAUUUAAGAAAUAUACAGAUAUUCACUUACAUUUCAAAGGCUCUUCUAUAUUUACAAUCCUUGAAUAAACCAGAUUCUAAAUUCCCUACUAUACAAUCCUUGAGUAAACAUGAUUCUAAAGGCCCAACUAUACAAUCCUUGAGUAAAUGUGAUUCUAAAGGCCCUACUAUACAAUCCUUGAGUAAACGUGAUUCUAAAGGCCCCACUAUACAAUCCUUGAGUAAACGUGAUUCUAAAGGCCCUACUAUACAUUAUACAAUCCAUGAGUAAACGUGAUUCUAAAGGCCCUACUAUACAAUCCAUGAGUAAUGGAGGGCUGGAGGUAGGUUUAUCUUCGAUUUGUUAUGCCCCGGCUGUAGCGGAGGGAGCAUUAAGUUUUACCCUUGUCCGUCUGUACGUCCACAAGUCGGUUUCUGUUCUCUCUAAAUUUAGUUUGCCUCAAUCAAAUGUAAUGAAACUUAUACACAAUGUUUAAGAAUAAGCCAUAUGUAUCUUUUCUUUUUUCACUUAUGAGUUUGUGAGCACCGUUCCUUUUUGAAUCUUGUGUUAAUGACUUACCCUGCUGCUUUUGUGCAUAAGUCAUAAAGAGAAACACUAUUCAUGCUAUUUGGGAUAAGCAUGUAUAAUAUUUGUAGCUGGAUCUAAUUGACCACCCCUUGAUGACAUCUGCAUUGUGAUGACACUACACACAUAAUUUAGUAACUUUGUAGUGUAAUAAUAUCUAAAUUAUUUAGGAGGGCUGCCUUUCAGCUAUAUUAUAUAUAUGAUCAUAUGUUAUUGAAAGUUAUGAUAAAUGCAGGGUAUCUGAUUUCAUUUUAAAACAGCUCAUCUUAAUGUAAAUAAUUUUAGCUUUUCUUUUCUUUGGAAAUCAUAUUUGGUGUGCAUAUUGUUCUAAUUGUUGUUUGUUUAAUUAACAAAUUAUAAAACUACAAAAUUAGAUCAAGUACAUAGUCAACUUCCUUACAUUCAUGACAUUUACUUCAUGUAGAUUUAAGCAUUUUGGACUUUUUAAAAUAUUAAUACUUGCGUACAAAGUUUGUGAGAUUUUAAAACACUUUGAUUUCAUAUAAGUUGGCAUUAUUGAUCUUAUAAUUUGGAUCAAUGCAGAUAGUAGAUAAUUUGCGUACAAAAUUUGUUUGAUUUGAAAAACACGUUAUUAUUUUCAAUUAUAUAUAUUUAACUUAUAUUUUGGAUUGACAAUGAUUGAUGCAGAUAUAUUUAAUUAACAGAAGAAAUACAGACAGAUAAGCAGUGUUUGUUUUCUUGGAUUUUGUAGGGAAUUCUCCAGCCAAUGAGAUCUUGAGUGGUAG
rnacentral:lncRNA from 1 species